CAUAUACCUUGAAACUGGUAUACAGCUGCAACCCUACUACUGAACAUGUUUGCCAAAUUCGUAAAAUGUAAUUCAGCGCUGAGCCAAUUUCAUUAUUAUCAUACUAUGGUAUUGCCGUAAAAUUAUAUACACUCCAUAAAUAUCGUGUUUGUCAGUGUCUGUCUCCUCCCCUCUAAGUUGAUCCUAUAACGUCUGCUGAGUCUGUCAGUCAGUGCAGAGACAGAGGAAGAUAAAGACAUCAUGAUCAGAAACUUCAGCAGCAUCACUCUGCUGUUUCUCUGCCUCCCCUGUCUCUCACUGAGCACUCAAGUCCAUCAGAGUCCAUCAUCAAUAUUUGGAAGUCGUCAUGUUUCAGCAACCAUCAGCUGCAACCAUUCAGUCAGCACGUACAAUGUAAUAUUGUGGUACCAGCAGCCGCUGGUCGACUCUGGCCUUAAACUCAUUGGAUAUGUUUACUAUACUAACCCAGCCCUGGAGGAUCCAUUCAAACAGCAUUUCAAUGUGACUGGAGACGGCUCAGCCAAAUCUCAACUAGAUUUACUAAAACUGAGACAGCCGGAAGACAGUGGCGUGUAUUACUGUGCAGCCAGUAAACACAGUGACUCAAUUUCACUCUUGCUUCGACAAAAACCCCCUCGGAUUAUCAGCCAAAUAAGUUCACUCUGAAGAAGCACACAGCUGCAUCUAACUGCAGCCUGUGGCAGGAAAUCACAACUGAUAUAAAGACGUGACGGCCUAUAACAGAGAUACUCAACUCAUAUCCUGCAGGCAAAACCUAAUAGGGUGACAGGGCCUCUGCUACUUUCUAAUUUCUAAUUAAAGUAAAGCAAUUCACACCGGGAAUAUUUGUACUUUGAGAAUACAUAAGGUGCCAGAGUGCAUCAAAAUAGAGCUUGUAUAUAAAAAAAAGUGCCUGUGGAGGAUUUCCCCUUUGCAAAGACAGAGGUCCUAAACCCCAAAUGUCCUUAAAUCAGAGGAAUGUCCUAAA